UCAGUCCCUCUCCCUCAAAUAUCUCUCGCCUCUCUCAGUCUCUUCCCAUUUUGUCAACCUUAAUCUUUCCCUUCGCUUCUCUUCCCUCUCUUCCUUUGUUUUUAUCUUUUACUCCCCAGCUGCCAUUGUUCUUUUGUCUAGCCGGAACCGCCUUGCUGUCUCUGAUGAUGGACUCCACCCUGCACUUGAUGUUCGAUUACAGUGGGUAUACUAUCUUUUAUCCGAUACAUCAGUUUAUAUGUAUGUAUAUGAUUUUACUUUCUUAAUCAGAUUACUAGUUGGGGGAUUUGUUUGACGAGGAUGUUAAUUUGAUAUAUAUAAAUACGAUUUAGUUGCAAAGGUUUGAGUCUAUAAUUGUUGGUAUGUAUGUAUAGAAAUUAAUGUUUGUAUGCGUGGCCAUGUGGCUUCAGUUCUUAAUAUAUGUUUUCAGCGGUUAUAUAUUGUCCUGCAAUUCAUUUAUAUUUAAUCUAAACACAUGGCACACCAAGUGUUUGAUAUGAGUCUUGCACAAAUGCACUGCUGAUUCCUUGUUAAAUUCAUAUCUCUUGAUUCGUUCAUCGUAUGAUAAUGGUUUUGCACUCUCUGGAAAGAUAAUGGAAUUACCUACAGUUUUUAUUCUUUGUGUUUUUCCAAAUUCAGCCUUAAAUUAUGAUAAAAUCUGCAUUUUUAAAAUCUGCCCUGGUAUUUCAGUUUGGUACAACCUGACUUCAAAAAUUCGUAGUAAAUUCAUUAUUUUAGCUAUGACUUUAAACUUUACCAAUUUGGAAAGCUUAAUUCAGGAUCUACGAUUGUUGUUUAUAGUUCAUCAACCAAUCCUAUGAUCUAACAGUCUCAAACACUAAGUUACUUGCGAAAACAGGGCUGAAUCUGCUUAUGCAGCUGUUUGUUUUAAAGUUUCUGAAUUCGUUACUUGGUCAUUUUUAGCGAGCCUUACCAUUUUGGAAAGGUAUCGAUAUAUCCUACAACUUUUAUGUCUUAAACUUUUCUGUUCGAGUUCAUCUAGGUGUUGUAAAAUGUCAUUCUUCCAAGAGUGGUUAACUUAAAUUUUAGGUUCGGUAGCUAUUUUAUAUGUUAUAACUUGACAUAUGGUUUUGUGCUAAAAUAUGUGAUGGCUAGACUAUUCUCGCUAUGUUAAAUGUAUCAUCAUUUGUUACGUGUUACGUGCUAAAUGCUAGUUAUAGUUUAAUAGAUUAUAUAUAUGAAUCUAUAGUAUAAUAGUGUUGGUUAGUGAUUUGAUAUGUGCUUUCUAGUUUAUUAAAUUACACAUUUAAGUUAGCAUACUUGAUCACAUACUUGACUUGUGCACAUGUACAUUGACUUGUUAUUUGUAUAUGUGAUAGAAAAGGUGUGUGUAUCGAAAUACAUGUUAGAAUAACUACAUGUCAAGGCAGGUUUAUUUCGAUAGCAUAGCUGCAAGUCAAGGCAAAAUUACUUCUUUUCAUGUUAAAUGGAAAAGUUUGAGACGGAUAAGAAUAUUGAAAUGACUUGUGGAUUGUAUUUGUGGUGUGGUUACUCAGGGUAUGGUCCAUAUUACGAAUAGGACAUGCCGAAUUUUUGUUAGAAAUUAUAUAUAUAUAUUCUACUUGUUAAAGGAUAUUAAAUAGAUAAGAAUAAGGUGAUAUGGUUAACUGAAACUUGUUAUAUGUUAACUUAUCAAUAUUGACUUUUAGUAGCUAUAAAAGUUAAUUGUUCAACUAUGUGCUAUGUGUUUAUCUGACUAUGUGGUAUGUAUAUGCGAAGGGUAGAUAGAGAAUAGGUCUUAAUGCUUUUCAAGCUUAGUUAAUCCGUCUGAUCCGAUGAUUGAAAUACUAUUUUUCCAUCCUAUAGAAUUGAACGAGACGUUGAUCAAGAAGUGAUUGAAGUGGGUAUUCAGAAAUAGCUAAGUUGUGUUGCAAGUUGAAGUUACGCAGAGAUUUGCUAUAUAGAUGGAAUCUUGUCAGAAGUUAGUAGAAAGGAAUGAUAAGGCACUACAUAGUGUUAAUCGAAACCCGAGCUAGACACCAGAAUUAAGGCAAGUAUAUAUCCAACCUACCUUCUCUUUAAAAGAUUUUGCUCCUGCAAUGCUUUUGAUAUGCUUUGAAUAUUGCAAAACUCCUUAUAGAAUUAGACUUCUACUAAUUAACUAGUAUUCUGGAAUUACCCAAGUAUGAAAUGAAAUACCUUUUGUCACUUAUAUCUCGCAAAUGUAUCCACUUAAUUAUCAUUUAUAUCUUUUGCAACUGCCAGUUAUUUGAUAAUGAGUUUAGAACCUUGUUUUCUUACCUCCCUCUUAACUACAACAAAUUGUGUUCUUGCUUAUAAACUAGUUCACUUGUUUGUUUCUGACCCAUAAAGGAAACCCCAUUUCUUGAAAGACCUUAGUUAUCAUCAUACAACCUACCCUGCCAUUAUUAUAAAAUACAUUGAUACACUUGAUUCAGUAACCUAUACCCUUGAUAAAGAAUACUUAAUUAGUAGAACUCUAAUACUAAGGUGUUAAAGGAAUAUUUGGUUUAGAAUCAUUGAUUCUUAUAGAUUUUGAACCUUGGUUUUAAAAUGAAAAAUGAUUUGAUUUAUCUGUUUUAAAAAGGGAAUUGGAUGAAAAUGUUUUAUGACCGAGGCGCCGGUCCCAAUUGAAUUAUUAAAGGCCAAAGUGUGCCUAGGAUCCUUUAUAUUUGAGAACUCGUAUUGGAUAUGCGGGUUCGGAGCUAUGUCGUGGGCUGAUCACCCAGCUUAGCUCCUAGCGUCUUAUAUGGUUCCAAUUCCAUAAAGGAGAAACUGUUUUGUUUAAAUCAUAUUGUGUUGGUUAACGUUCUAAGCAUGUUAGAAUCUUGAUAUCAGUGCCAUGUUUUACAUAUUGUUUAUAAACUAUUGUUGAUUUGGAUAUUAUAUACUUGCUGAGCAUUAUUGCUCAUUCUUGCUAUUCAUUCUAACUAUUUCAGCUAGGGAUAAAGAUGAUUCACUUAAGACUGCGCGUAAGGGUAAUGAUAGGCAAGGAUUGUAAGUGGUCGAGUUUCAGGCAAGUAGAAUAUCCAGAAAGAUGUCUUUAAGGCUGGUUGUAGUUGGAGUUGUGCAAUUCAGUUCAGUUGGAAACUAGAUUUCUUUCUUUGGUUAUCAGUUACUCUUCUUAUCGAGGUUUAGCUGAUAAUGUAGUUUAAAUUGUAAUUAUAUUUGAUAGUUUUAGUUUCUGAUUUCAAUGCUGUAACCUGUAUGAGAUCCUGUUUUUAGGGGGG
rnacentral:lncRNA from 1 species